UACAGAGGGUGCGAGCGUUAAUCGGAAUUACUGGGCGUAAAGCGUGCGUAGACGGUUAUUUAAGUCGGGUGUGAAAGCCCCGGGCUCAACCUGGGAAUUGCAUUCGAGACUGAAUAGCUAGGGUACGGUAGAGGGAAGCGGAAUUUCCGGUGUAGCGGUGAAAUGCGUAGAUAUCGGAAGGAACAUCAGUGGCGAAAGCGGACUU
rnacentral:rRNA from 1 species